UUGGCAAGUCUCUUUUCAGAGGGAAGGUAGCCAGUGCCGCCGCAUGAUAGCUGUUGUUGGUGAGGAUGGAAAUGGCGUCAUCAAUAUUUAUUCCGCUGUUUAUUUCCAUAUUUAGAUGUAGUGAACGGCUUAUUGAUCAUAAGCCACAUUUAUGAAAACCGGGACGUGGUCCGAGGAGAGUUGAGGUAAAGAGUAUGUUGUUAACCUGUCUUUGUGGAUUCCAGAAUAGAUGGAGAUGUCUAUAACAGAUGGAUUUUUAGCCCUGUGAUGAGGAAAAUGGGUAGGGCCUCCUGUUGCAAGGAUUUCUAGCCUCUUGUCUGCAUGGGCUGCAUCAAUCAGGGCACUUCCUCGCUUGCAGGAGCGUAUGUUGCCCCACCAGCCAUGCUUAGCGUUGAGGUCACCUGCUAAUAGGAACAUUGGGCCUCGGGAAGAAGAGCGGAUAAUCAUGAAUAGGUCUGAAGUCCGAUUGGGACCAUUCCAAAACAGGGUGGCAGUAGAUCCCUGCCAGCGUAAUGUAUUCGCUUCUACUCAACUUAAUAGAAAUCAAUGCGCAUUGGUGAAGAUCGUUUUCAAUGGAUGGAAGAGCCAUGUGUUGGAUGCAGCUUCGGGCAAUGCUUGCUGCACCGCCCUUUUUUCUGCCGGCAGGCAAGAUUUAUAUUUCCUGUAAUUGGAGGCGCCUGCAGCGUUCCAGUAUGCGAUUUUCAGGUGGGUUGAGCUGGUCAUUAAAAGAAGCAACUGAGAAAUGAAGUGCGGCCUCGUUGAUGAACUUUGUGAGGGCCUCUAUUUGUUUUUGAAGUUCCCUCACCAUGAUUUCUGCUGCUUUAAGGGCAGCAGGCAUGUUUCCAUCGAACGGUAGAAGAGAGUCUGGGUAUUGAAGAGCUUCCUUUGGAGGAUGAUGCGGCUUUACAGUAGUUGCCACCUGCUUGAGCGGCUCAGCCUUUUCGCGCGUGUCGCCUUGCCUCUGGAUUUUCUUAGUUGGUGUGAGAAAAAGCGAGGGUCGAACCGGUUUCUCACUUUUCUCCUGGCUGGGACUCCGAUUUCGCUUAAGGCUAGGUGAUUGAGCAGCUGUUUGGACGACUUUUGUCGUUCUUGCAGGGACUGGUGGAGGUGGACGGCGCAUUGAGCUGCCUCCUAAAUUAAGUAGACUUACUUGCGCUCAAAGUUAAGCAAAUAAAAAAACCAAAUGUGAUUCACUGUAAGUACAAAUAUUGUUUAAGAUUAAACUACGGUUUCAUUUGAAAUGGCUUCACAAAAUCAGAUGCAACAAGAAAUAUAC